AUUGAACGCUGGCGGCAUGCUUUACACAUGCCAGUCGAACGGCAGCGCGGGCUUCGGCCUGGCGGCGAGUGGCGAACGGGUGAGUAAUGCAUCGGAACGUGCCCAGUAGUGGGGGAUAGCCCGGCGAAAGCCGGAUUAAUACCGCAUACGACCUGAGGGUGAAAGCGGGGGACCGAAAGGCCUCGCGCUAUUGGAGCGGCCGAUGUCGGAUUAGCUAGUUGGUGGGGUAAAGGCUUACCAAGGCGACGAUCCGUAGCUGGUCUGAGAGGACGACCAGCCACACUGGGACUGAGACACGGCCCAGACUCCUACGGGAGGCAGCAGUGGGGAAUUUUGAACAAUGGGGGCAACCCUGAUCCAGCCAUGCCGCGUGCGGGAAGAAGGCCUUCGGGUUGUAAACCGCUUUUGUUCGGGAAGAAAUCCUCUGGGCUAAUACCCCGGGGGGAUGACGGUACCGGAAGAAUAAGCACCGGCUAACUACGUG
rnacentral:rRNA from 1 species